rnacentral:lncRNA from 1 species
UUAAUUUUGGCUAGGUAGAUGGGCCAAGCCCAACAAUUAAGCCUUCUCAUUUUUGGGCCUAGGCCUUUUAUUUUCUUGGCCUUCAGCUUUUCACAAUUGAUUUUUAAGUGAUUUUGUUCAUUUUCCUGAAUUGUUUGAUUUGUGCCUUUUUAGGGCCCAAAUAGUAUUUGUUUCAUUUUGAUGUAUCAGCAAUUAAUGAUCUGAUCCUCAAAAAACAAUAAAUAAUCAACAUUUCCAAUAUUUCAGUCACACAAAUUUUCAUAAAUGGCGACCAAUAUGAGUAUAUUAUAUAUAUUAAAAUCAUGUGCUAGUUCACAUCAUCCAGGAAUUUAGAACACCCAGGAAGUGUAAACACCCAGGAACAUCCAGAAACAUCUCUGAAGUAAACACCCAGUAACACCCAGGAACAUCUAUGAAGUAAACACCCAGGAACAUAAAACACCCAAGAAGAUAAAACUAGCUACAAAGAUGAAGUGUUCCCUUCUUCGAACUUCUUCAUCCUAGAGCUCCUGUAGAAGAGAGGAAAUUAUGUUAUCAUGGCUGCCAAUGAAAGCAAUAUCUUCUAGCAUAAACAAGUAGGAAAAGAAUAAUGAACAGAAUAAUAAACAGAUACACAAGCAGCUAGGAGUAUGGAUAACAAAAUAAUGAAGUAUGGAUAACCAUAGCAACACUAGUAUACUAUUGCUGAGGCAUUAGUAUAAUGAACAGAACUUCCUGAAGUAUACUACUGCUACUGCUAAGUUUGCAUCAGUUUAGAGAUCUUAUAGAAUAAUUUGUUUAUGCCUGGAAUGCAUCAGCUUGCAUCAGUUUGUACAAUACUAGAAAGGGCAUAUAAAACAACAGAAUUGCAUAGGGCAAAUAAAACGCAUUAACCUGCUGUUGCUCUACACUUCAACAUGGAUAAUAAAUCUAACAUCGAUGGUUGGCAUCAUCCUUGCGUUGGCUAGUUAAAACUAAGAACAGCAGAGCAGAUAUGUGUAUUACGCAGACAAAUAGGGGUGCUCCUGUUGGGUUGCAACAUGAAAGAGCCAUGUUUAUUACUGCUAAAAAAUACUUAGCAACCUCAACAAAUUAUUAUCAAAGGAAUGGUAACAAAUCUAAGGGUUUAUUUUUGGCAAACUAUCCAAGGUUGAGAAAUGAAAAAAUGCAAAAAAACGUCGAUCUGCUGUAGUUGUUUAACCAUCACCACACUAACGAACAUGUGUUCAAGAGAGUCGUUUGAUCCAAAGAAUUGAAGACAAAUAAAUGAAAGAGAAAAUUUUCAAUUCUAUUCAAAAGUAUAGUACAAGCUAUAUCUGACUUCUGAUGAAAUGCAUAGGUCCAGCCGAUGACUACACAUCAGCAGCUACUUCAGACAUUGGCUGGAGAAAUGCUUAUCUUUUUUAUUCUUCAAUGACGUAAAAAGAAAUGACAACACAUCACCAACAACAGUAGACUCUCACAGCCAACUAAUAUACUAGGACUACAUCAACCAAGCAUUAGUUUUAAAAAAGCUCGGUUUAAGAUACUUCAACGACGUAAAUCCCAGUAGCAUCUCCUUGUAACAUCAUAUGCUCAGCUGACAAACGAUUCACAUGCAACUCCUCUACAUUAUAUCAAACCAACACAGAGAGCUGCAUCUCUAGAUGAGGAACAAAAAAACGUUGAUAGCAUGCUAGGCAUCAGUUUUAAAAAGCUCAAUUUUAGAUCAUCAAAGACCGGAAAGGCCACAUCGGUCUAAAUGUUUCACAUCCUAUGCCCAGCACAACAUCAUCAUCGUCACGGAAAUUCCCUAAACAGUCUGACUUCUCAAAUGGCAGAUUCACCUUCCGAACCAUGUAGGAGAAAAACAUCAAGACCAUGGAAUCAACAGGUAAUUGUACCUUGAGCAGCAGAGCAUGCGCCUCAGACGAUCACGGGAGCACGAUCCCGCCGCAUUGCCUUGCUGCUGGCCUCUUCGGCGCUUCACCAUUGGCCAGAGGAGGAGCAGCCAGAGAGUCCAAGACUGUAAAUGCCAAAGAGAGCAGCGAGUAAAAUGAACUGGAUUUUUCUGCCGCUAAAUGAAUGCUAUAUACCUAUGCUGCUACUAAAUGGUGUUUGUGCAUAACUAAAUUUUGCAGUUGGCACUGAAAGUUGACAGACAACUAUUGCACUAAACUUUGCUGCUACUAGUAUGUGACUUUCAAAUGAGCUUAUGUAAAAACAUUGCUUGCGCAUGUCCAACUAGAAAGGACACGGCAGAUACAACUAUGUGAGCUAGCCUGAUAGGUAGUUCAAGCAACUUGAUUCAGUGAACUGGGAAUGAUCUAAGACGGACAAUAAGAAUGGAAAGCAAACAUUGAACCCCACGUUGAUCUGAAACUUUGGGAUUCAAGCAAGAAGUCGCAAACGUGCAACCAAAAUGCUCCUGUCAACAUUAUUAUUCAAGGUAACAUGCCAUCAGCAUCAGGAACACUGCUCAAUGAUUUGUAUGUGGCAUAGACAUGAUCCAGUUAUCAUGAUACAAUGACCAUCUUGUAAAAUGAAAGGCAUGUGCUGCUCAUUACAAUUAUUUUAAGCUGAGUGUUUCUUUCUUCUCUUUUAUUUAUGCAAGCGGAGAUGUAGCAGGCAGGGAGGCAGGGAGCCAUCACAUAUGCAUGUAUGUAUGAAGCAGAACAUGAAAAGAGCAACAUAUAAUUAACUUGAUUGACAUGACAUGGCAGGGUGUUUUUGUAGCCGAUGCCAAACAGCACCAUCGCCACCACCGUUGCAUGGAAGCAUCAAAAAAGAGGAGCCUGGCACGAUGAACCCCUUGUACAGAAUCAAAUCCUGCUGCACAAGGACAAGAGAAAUAAGAAGAUAAUACGAAAGCUGUUAAACAAAAUCAUAGGAUGCCAUCACGUAGUCCAGACAAAUUGAACACACACACACACACACACACACACACACACACACACACACACACACACACACACAUAUAUAUAUAUAUAUGUAUGCAUGCAUGCUUCUCAAAGUUUAAUUCCAUAGAAUUAAAGUGCUUCCGAUAGUAACCAAAUUAUUUUAAUACUCAGCCAUCCAGUACCACAUAGGAAGCAAAUCCUAAAAUAAAAAUGCACUUCUGAACAGAGCGACACACUACAAGAACUUACCAACAGGUUUGAACAAUGGAUGACAUACAGUACAAGAAAAAGAGCAGGAGAAUGGAUUCUGAUAGACUACACAAGAUGAUUGCAAUGACUAGGCUACAAGUUAAUACAAUUAACACAAGUUAAUGCAAGCCUGAUGUACUACUCAGGCUAAGAAGAAGCAGGUACAGUAGUAGUUUUAGCACACUAGUACAUGUGUUAAAAUGGAAGCAUCGCUGCUGGGUUAUAUUAAUAAAUAAUCCAAGUGUUGCAAUAGCCAACAAAAUAAAAAAUCUAUACACAUGCAUAGACCACAACACAUUUACCGACAUUGAUGGACUGGACAAACCUAACACAUACUUAUCAUACUAAUACAAUACAAGAUAAUGCAUUAGAGUGUCUGGAUUUGCAUGAACAAGAUGACCAGUUUCACAUCGGAUUUGCUUGAACAUGUAAAGUAUGUAUUAGUGUAAAGCCUAUCAAGUAUUCGAAUUGUGCUGCAGUUUAGUUGAGUUGCAAGUAGAACUACAGUGAAGAUGCUAUUCUAACUUCUGUGACUGAAGAAAAAUACACACCGUAUGUACAUCAUUUGUGCUAAACAUUAGCACACAAUGUUGAUGCUACUAUGCAACCACAAAUUAAAUCACUGGACACCGAGGCCGGAAAGGAGCCAUAGUGGACCAAGCAGCCAAACUGGGACAGGUUGGAUGAUUUUACCCUUGAGUAAUCUAAGCAGCACCUCGGACAGGGGGAUGAACCGACAUCCUCCCCCUCUGCACACUAUCCUCUCUUCACUAUCACACCCGAACCAUCGUCUUCCUCGACACCUGCAGCACCUCGGCUUACCAUGGUGAUAGCCUGCACAAACCCCCUUCACGAAUCAGAUCAUAUCUAAUCAAGAAGAAGCAUAGGAG